AGAUGGAAUCACAACAUUCACUCUGCACAGGAGGCAUAGAAAUUGAGAAAGGACAGGAACUUGGAGGCAACCUCUCAACAUAGGGAGUGAAUUAUUCACAAGGUAGUGCAUUCAGUUUCAGAAUGGACAACAUUAAAUCAACACUAUUAAAAACUGUUGAAGAACUGACAGAUGACGAGUACACCAAACUUCAAUUUUUGCUGGGAGAAACCCCCGGGAAAAAAAAACUCCAAGAGGAAAGCUACAAAACAAGUCAAAGUGGAGCUUGUACAAACACUAAUUAGUUACCAUUGGCAAUCAGGCAGCCAAAGUUCUGACAAAGGAAUUGUUGAAUAUACCUCACAAGGAUUUUCUUCCAAUCAAAGUUGGUGCUAUGAUGGAUGUCAGCUUAGCCUCUGAAAGAAUGGGUUCCACAUUUUGCAAGUCUUCACUUUGGGCGAACUUCUACCCAAGUUGGAUCAACUUGCCUUUUAAAGCAUUUCUGGUUAGAGUUUUACUGGAGGCAAGAACUAAGAGCAGGAGGAGAUCAUUCAGUCUCCCUAGCACACUUUGCCAUUUAAUAAGACCAUGGCUGAUAUGAUUGUGGUCUGAACUCCACUUUCCUGUCUGCCUUUGUCUCCCUCAUCAAUCAAAAAUCUGUCUACUGCAACAAAGAAUAUAUUCAAUAACUCAGCCUCCAUUGUGACAGGGAAAGAGAAUUCCAAAACCCUUUGUAGAGAAAGCAUUUUUCUUCCUCUCCAUCUAGCUCUAGACUCCCUCACAAGUGGAAACACUCUCUCAGCAUCCACCCAGUCAAGUCUCCACAGGAUCUUUAAACACUUCGGUCAUAUCAACUCUCAUUUUACCAAACACCAAUGGAUACUGACCCACAUUUUCAUUCUCUACUCAUAAACGAACCCCUUCAGCUCAAGAAUCAGUCAGGUGAACUUUCUCUGACCUGCUCAUAAUGCAAUAAUAUCCUUUGUUAAGUAAGGAGACCAAAACUGAACACAGUAAACAUGUUUCGGGCUUGUUUCCAAGUCAGAAAGCUACCUCAGGUGAGAGAAUGGUUAAUUUUUGGAUUUUCAAUGGUUACAAGCUCUUAAGUGGCGUGGGGCAUGGGUUCCCUGUCUCCAGUGGGAAUGAUGUCAAAGCUGGAGGACUGAACCAGUCAGAGUCCUUUCACCUUGAGAGAAGUACCCAGUUACAGUAUAAGAUAAAUAACAGUGAGGGCAUUUCAGCAAGAGGGCCAAAGAAAUCCAUUGAUAAUAAAUUAAACACUACAAAAGAAAUCUUAACUGACGAACCAGAUUUCAAGUUUACCAGCACUCUGGGAUAAGUGGUUCAUCAAGAAAUUAUUCUACAUAGUUGAGGAUAUCGUCCCAAUCAAUGAAUUUGUAGGCAAAUUCCCAAAUUGCCUUCUGAUCUGUGCAUUGGACUUCCUUUUUUAGAAGAUACUGCAGUAAGGGGAGGCAAUGGCCUUGUGGUGUUAUCGCUGGACUGUUAAUCCAGAGACCCGGAUAACAUUCUGGGGACUUGGGUUCAAAUCCCGCCAUGGCAGAUGGUGGAAUUUGAAAUCAAUAAAAUAUCUGUAAUUAAGAAUCUAAUAAUGACCAGAAUCCAUUGUUGAUUGUCAGGAAAAACCCAUCCGGUUCACUAAUGCCCUUUAGGGAAGGAAACUGCUAUCCUUACCUGGUCUGGCCUACAUGUGACUCCAGACCCACAGCAAUGUGCUUGACUCUGAACUGCCCUCUAACAAUUAGGGAUGGACAAUAAAUGCUGCCUAAUCAGUGAUGCCCUCAUCCCAUUAAUAAAUAAAGGAAAGAAAAGUGAGUUUACUUUUUCUACACAGCAGAAUGCUUUACAAGCAGAGGGAUGGUCUUUCACUGAGGUUAAAAUCUUGGAGAAAACUCUAUAAGGUCUGAGUCUAAUUUAAGACCAUCCAAGGUAGAGAUAACAAGGUGUAGAAUUGGAUGAACAUAGCAGGCCAAGCAGCAUCAUAGGAGCAGGAAAGCUGACGUUUCAGGCAUAGACCCUUCAGUGCAGGUCCAGGGAGUGAAUUUUUGAGGUGGUGGACGGAGUGUCAAUCAAGUAUAUUGCUUUGUCCUGGAUGAUUGAGUACUCUAGAGUUUCUCUAUCAUCUAGGAGUGCAAUCAUCUUGACAAAUGGUGAGCAUUCCAUCAUACUCAUAACUUGUGCCUUGUAGAUGGUGGACAGGCUUUGAGGCACCAGGUGGUGAGUUACCUGCUUCAGAUAUCCUAGUCUCUGAACUCUUCAUCUCCACAUUAUUUAUAUGGCUCAUCUAGUUCAAUGUCUGGUCAACGGUAACCCGCAGGAUAUUGAUAGAGGAGGAUUCAGCAAUGAUAAUAUCAUUGAAUAUCAAAGGGAAAUGCAAAAUUCCCUCUUGUUGGAGAUGGUCAUUGCCUGGCACUUGUGCAGCAUGAAUGUUAUUUGCCACUUGUCAGCCCAUCCCUGAAUAGUAUCCAGGUCUUGCUGCAUAUGGACGUGGACUGCUUCAGUAUCUGAGGAGAGUAAAUGGUGCUGAACAUUGAUGAUUGCACAAUGUACAUCCCUACUUUUGACCUCACGAUGGAGGGAGGGUCUCUGAUGAAGUACUCCUGUUGCUGUAUCCUGGACUCAGAAGUUUGAGCUUCAGCAACCACAACUAUCUUCUCCUGUGCUAAGUAUGACUGCAACCAAUGGAGAGUUAUUCCUCCCAAUUCUCAACAACUACAGUUUUGCUCGGGCUCCUUGAUACCACAGUCAAAUGCAGCCUUGAUGUGAAAACAGAUUUUCAUACCACACUUUGGAGUUCAGCUCUUCUGUUCAUGUUUCAGCCAAGGCUAAAAUGAUGUCAGAAUUUGAAUAGCUGUGGGGGAACCCAAACUGAGCAUCAGUGAGCAGGUUACAAUCAAGGGUUAUUAUAUUACCAAGUACUUUCCAUUCCUAAUGACCCUAAAAUCUACUGCAUUAAAUUGUUUCAGAGAUAGUAGGAAAUGUAGAUGCUGGAGAAUCUGAGAUAACAAGGUGUAGAGCUGGAUGAGCACAGCAGGCCAAGCAGCAUCAUAAGAGCAAGAAAGCUGACGUUUCAAAGAAGGGUCUAAGCCCAAAAUGUCAGCUUUCCUGCUCCUAUGAACACAGACAGGAAACUGCAAGUUCUGAUCCAAUCCACACACCAUCCUGGUUUGGAAUUGCUUUGCUGUACUUUCAUGUUACUAGGUCAAAAUCCUAAAAUUCCCUUCCUAAUAACACUGGGUGUACUUACACCGCGUGAACCUCAGAGGUCCGACAAGGCAGCACACCACCACCUUCUGUAGGGCAGCUGGAAAUGAGUAACAGAUGCUGACUUUACAAGUGGAGGGGGUAAUUCCUCUAUGAAUUCUUAAAGAAGUACCCAUGAGACUCAUUCCUCUGCCUCUGAUUAAUUACAAAAUCUCGAACCCUGUGCAGUUGAUGGAAGUAUUCAAGGCACUUACCUCAAAGGCCCAAAUGUUUAGUGAUGGGAUUCUUGAUGAAUAGAAUACACUAGAUCAAGGACAGGAUAAUGGUAAUGUGAAUAAUUAUGACACAUGAAACACCAGUUGCCCAGAACAGGCAUUUCGGUGACACAUAUUCUGAAGGGGCCAAACCAAGAGAUGUAUGCACCAAUUGUUGGAGGUGUUUCUUUUAUUAACUCCCAAUAGGUGACCUUACUAUCUAAGUUGGCAUAUAAUGCACAUCCUGAGAGAAACUACAACCAGUGAACACAUUCUACAGAUGAAGGGUUUCCGAUUUAAGACUAAGAUCAGAAUCCUUUCCUAGGGUCAUGAACUUUCUUAGCAGAAAGCUGUGGCAGCAGCUUCAUUGAUUCUUUUUACACCUACAGUAGGUUCUUUACCAACAAAGGAAACAAGGGAAGGUGGAGCACAGAGCACAACCAAAUUGGCCAUGAUCUUAUAGAACGGUGGAGCAGGCUAGAAGGAUGGAAUGGCUUCCUCCUCUUAAUUUGUAUAUUUGUAUCAAAUAGAUUGUGUUCAGCUAAAAGCAUAUUUCAUGAUGUUUUAUUAGUAUUGUAAAGGAAAACUUUGAUGAAUCUUCAUAAUGCAUGUUGCUGA